GCAUGCUUUUUGAGAAAUGUAUCAUCUAGGAAGAAAAUCAAAUGGAGUAUUGGUAAUUAAAUUGUAAUUCCAUGAAGGAAGGAAGUGGUGCAAAAGAUGAAGCUAACUAUUCCUGUUUUUCUUUUUAAGAGUUUACAAUUCAUAAUGGAGCUACUGUACUGGCUAUUGGAAGGAGGAGAUUCUGAAGAUAAGGAGGUAAAACCUGUUUAGAAAUUAAAAAUGAGUUACGAUUUAAAGAAAAUUCAGAUGACUCAUUGUGAGUGCUAGUUCUCUUGUAGGAUGCCACUGGAAAUGUUGAAAUGAAAAAUAUUCAGCCGUCGGUCUUUGAAAUUUCCUGUGAUGUAUUUCAAUCGAGAUGCAAAGAACAUGGAAAAAUCAAAGUGCUCAAGUGGUUUAAAUAUGUUUUGGAUGUUCCUGUUUAUAGACUAUAAUACUUUUCCAAUUAAAAUCCUCAGUUGUCACGC
rnacentral:lncRNA from 1 species